AUGGCGGUGGCGGCGAGGGUGAAGCGGCGGCCGGUGACGAAGCGGGCGCCUCCGGGGAGGCGACGACCCCAAGAAGAACCGACAGCGGUUGGCCGGAGAGGAAGCGGUGGUGAGGAGGAAACUUCGGCAGCGGCGGCGGCUUUCGACGGAUUUGGGCAGCAAUACGGCUGUGGUGGCUCGAUUCCUUGCAUAGGCGGCUGCGGGGCGUGUCGGGGAAGCGGAUCUGGCCGGCAGGAGGGUGCGGCAACUGCGGACCUGGCGCCGACAACGGGGAAGGUGUGCGACUGCGAGGGUCUUUUUGGUUUGCGUCAGCCGGCUGUGUACCGCAAAUUAGCCGCAGGCUGA
rnacentral:rRNA from 1 species